CAGCAGCCACGGGAAUACGAAGGGUGCAAGCGUUACUCGGAAUCACUGGGCGUAAAGGGAGCGUAGGCGGCGUGGUAAGUCAGAUGUGAAAUCCCGGGGCUCAACCCCGGAACUGCAUCCGAUACUGCCAUGCUAGAGGAUUGGAGAGGUAGCUGGAAUUCUUGGUGUAGCAGUGAAAUGCGUGGAGAUCAAGAGGAACACUCGUGGCGAAAGCGAGCUACUGGACAAUAACUGACGCUGAGGCUCGAAGGCCAGGGUAGCGAAAGGGAUUAGAUACCCCAGUAGUCCCUGUCUCUUAUAC
rnacentral:rRNA from 1 species